rnacentral:rRNA from 1 species
UACGUAGGGGGCGAGCGUUGUCCGGAUUUACUGGGCGUAAAGCGCGCGUAGGCGGUCUGUUAAGUGCACGAGUGAAAGCUCCGGGCUCAACCCGGAAAUUGCUCUGCAUACUGGCAGGCUGGAGGGACGCAGAGGUCUGUGGAAUUCCUGGUGUAACGGUGAAAUGUGUUGAUAUCAGGAGGAACACCCAUGGCGAAGGCAGCAGACUGGGCGUUUCCUGACGCUGAGGCGCGAAAGCGUGGGUAGCAAACAGG